rnacentral:tRNA from 1 species
ACAAGGGAUUUUAGCCCGUAUAAAAAUGUUUUUAACUGUUUGGGAUGGCUGUGCCCCAUCUUUUA